rnacentral:rRNA from 1 species
GAUGAACGCUGGCGGCGUGCCUAAUACAUGCAAGUCGAGCGAACAGACGAGGUGCUUGCUCCUCUGACGUUAGCGGCGGACGGGUGAGUAACACGUGGAUAACCUACCUAUAAGACUGGGAUAACUUCGGGAAACCGGAGCUAAUACCGGAUAAUAUAUUGAACCGCAUGGUUCAAUAGUGAAAGACGGCUUUGCUGUCACUUAUAGAUGGAUCCGCGCCGCAUUAGCUAGUUGGUAAGGUAACGGCUUACCAAGGCAACGAUGCGUAGCCGACCUGAGAGGGUGAUCGGCCACACUGGAACUGAGACACGGUCCAGACUCCUACGGGAGGCAGCAGUAGGGAAUCUUCCGCAAUGGGCGAAAGCCUGACGGAGCAACGCCGCGUGAGUGAUGAAGGUCUUCGGAUCGUAAAACUCUGUUAUUAGGGAAGAACAAAUGUGUAAGUAACUAUGCACGUCUUGACGGUACCUAAUCAGAAAGCCACGGCUAACUACGUG